UCAGAAAAAUAAUCUCAUUGUGCUGGACAGAUGCGUUUCCUGCAUUAUUGAUAUAGUCACUCUGGAGUAAUAGAGAAAUAUAAAGCAUUGUUCUAUUUACAAAAGGAGAUUGGCCAAGUCCUUGAAAGAUCCCCUGAAAUGCUGGGCACACUGACUAGCCUCUUGUAUAGAGUCUCAAGCCUGUGGCCAGAAGCAGCUGUGUGAAGUAGCCGCUGUGAUGGAUUGGGACCACAGAUACCACUUUGGAAGGAAAGGUUCCAGAAACCAAAGCUUGGGCCAUGGGUCUCUGGGAAACUGCAGCAGGAGUUUAGAGUCUAAUGGAUGGAACACAGAAGCAGGAAAAAAAUUGCUGUAGAAUAUGAUAAAGAUUAAUAGAGGCUUUGGGAAAGGCCUGUUUCCUGGCACUAAAAGUAGCCAGUCUUGGCGUGAACAGCCCUUGACAAUUCCCAGCAUAUGGUAAGAGAAGACGCUUCUGCCCACCCAUCAGGCAUGGAAAGGAGCAAUAAUACACGCAACACUGAACAGGACCAUGCCCUCUUCUAAAUGACAUUAUGGACUUCCCGACACUUGAAAAUGUAUGGGCUUGGCCAGAGGAAAUACUCAGAAUGAAGGAUUGCAUCUUCCGACCAGAAGCAGGUGCUGAGGAUGGAUAUGACAUCAAAACAGAAGGGUUGAUAGGGAGGAUCAUUAACCAUCAGAGAAAUUGCUAACUGCCCUGGAACACAGCACAUUCUUGGGUGAAAAGUCACUUGAAUGCCUGUUGGAGCCAUCACUAUGGAUUGCCGGCUAUUCUGACUUGGAGUUUGAGGCUGACAUCUGAAACCACAGGUGAGGACUCUGACACAUCCAGAUUUUGUAAGUUGCAUAGAAUGAAUUUCACAGGACGCAUCCAAUUCAUGGACUCUUACAAGUUUGUAUCAACACCUACAGCUCUGACCUCUGGGAAUGAAGAAGAUACUUAACAAUAGUUUUGAUGGACUAGAAAAUCAACAGAGAUAAUAUCCAUAUUCGUAUUGGUAGCCCCAUUGUAUUUAGAUAGUGUGAGCCAGCAGUGUUCACUUCCACCCAAUUCAGGGACUUCCUCUAGCAAGGUAUUGCAGUUUGGAAGUGGGAACAGAAGAGACUGUGCAAUCUUCACAGGAGAACAUUGUCAUGACAAAGAGGACAAACAAGUUCAAGGCAAAAAACUAAACCAUAACCUUGGGAUUCAAGGAAAAAGUCAUCAAGCACAGAGGGGGAAUAAAUGAAAGAAUAUAUCUCAGAGUUUUGGGAAGCCAUAAGGAUACUUAACAUGCCCUUUCAUCUGGCUUCUGGCUGGUGAGAAAUGUUCUUCCUGGAUGCCUUUAGACAUGGAAGAAUAGAAAUAACCACUUAAAGCUCCCGCCAUUUCUGUUCUUUGGCAACCCUGAAAAAGCUGAAAGAGGCUGAUCAUCGCUAAUGUAUUGAACAUCUUUUGAAGCCCCAAUGACUGCCACCAACAAAGAACAGACACAUGUGCUAUCUGGACUCAAUGUUCUGCGGCGAAAUGCGACGUUCUUUAUUUUAGUGUGUCAUCAAAGGCGAUGAAAAUAUCAUUCUAGCCUUCUAGGCUUAACCCUGUGGACUCUCGAUGACUAGAAGUUUCAUGUGAGCAGCGCACACACCCAGUCAGCGUGAGCAGCAGCACUGGCCCACGCAGGUCCACGGCACGGAAAGGAGAUUCGAUUCACAAAUCUGUUACCCGGACAUUUUUAUUCAUCGCCACGAGAUCAUUACAGCGACAAGCCCACAUCUGACGUUUAUGAUCUUGUUCGCUUUGCCAAAGUGGAGGAGGGGGGCAGACAGCUUGGGGGAUCUACAGCAGGAGGGAAAUGGCACCACUCAGACUCCUGCAAGCUCGUCAGCCACUGCAGGGAUUCUGAAGACCUUUUUUCUCGUCCAGGCUCCGCUGGCUGGUGCCUUCCAGGUUUUCUUUGGAUGCAUGAGUACGAGCUUGUUAGCUCAAAUCUGUUGUGCAAUUGUCCUUUUUGUGUGCCUGGCUGGAUUCCCUCGCACUAACAUUUAAAAAGAGCCCAUGCACAGAACUGAACAGGGGAUAAAGAUUUUGUGCACGACAGACCUGACUCAACCGCAACCAGCUGGCGCUUCUGCUGGGCUCUACUCUUGCCUAGGAAUGCUUCUAGCACCUUCCGCAUGACCAUUGGCUCUAAAGAUGCCUCCUGUUUAUCUUCUCCUCCUUAACAAAUAGUCUCUGUAGCGGCUGCAGUAAAUCUCUUUCAGUCUGGAGGCAACAGCCCUUGGGUGUUUGUCCUUUUUCCUCCCUCCGCUUCUCCCCCCUCAGCCUGCGUGUGUCUUUGACAAUAAUUGUCUUUGACAAUUAUUUCAAAAUGUCCGUACUUUUGGCCUCUUGAUGACAAAGAAAAGAGCCCGUAAAGUGCAAGGAAACUUCUCUCUAUUUCCAUUCAGACCGCAGUACACAGGCAGGGCAGCAGGUCCCGGGGAAAGGGGCAUUUGCCUGCUCUGUUUCCCAGUUGAGGGGCAGAUAAUAAGCGGCAGGGGCUUCUGCCUACAGCCAUCAUGACACAGGACCCAACUCAUCCUUUUUUAAUGGCAAUAAAUAAAUGACGGAAGUUUUAGCCACUAGACUAGUGAAUUGGUGGUUAAGCCUCAGGCUUUUAUCUCCCUGACCCCUGUUUGAACUCAACCUUGGUUCCUAAGUGCAGGGCAGACAAAGUGGGGUGGGAGGAGGGUUUCUUAUCGACAUGAACACCCCUUCCAGCUCAACAUAAAGAAAUAUGAUGCCAUGUGUGUGCCUGUGGCUCAGAGCAAAAGAGGGUAGGGAAGGAUUUGUUGGGACAAAGUGAGAAGAGACUUAAAUACCAGCUACUAUUUCUGGAUGUCUAUCCCAUAGCUUAAGAGUUUAAUAGAGAACAUAUUAAUGAAUUCCACUAGCAUUUAUAGAGGGAGGGGAUUAUCAGUUGUGUGCGAGGCCCUGUGCACACUGCUGGAGGUAGAAGUUUAAAAAGACAAACUGAGGAAGUUGGAAAUGGGGAAGCCCAAAGCUGACACCAGCCCAGGUGAAUAUGUAUUGAACCAUGAAUAUGUCAAUCACUGUGUUAAAACACUUUAUGUGCAUUAUUUCACUUUCUUCUGUUUAUCUUCUCCUCCUUAACAAGUUGUUGGAAUCCUCACAACAACUUUAUGAAUCAGGUACUCUUGUUUUCUAAUUUUACAGAUGAGGCAGUUGUGAUUUAGAGAAGUUAUGUAAUUUAUCCAAGGUUACAUGCGUGGGAAAUGAAGCCAGGAUAAAAAUCCUCAUCUAACUCUGUAUUAUAUCACUUUCAUGAAAAAAAAAGUGCUUACUGCAUGAGGUUCUCUAGUUUGAUAGAUGAUGACUCCAUUUUCCAGUCAAGAUUCCAUAUGCAUAUUCUGGCAAUUCCGAAUGUAUUCAUGAAAACUGUGGGUCUGACUGUUUGAGAUUAAGAUACUAUCUUUAUGCAGUCCAUUUUCUUAUCUGAAAAAUGAGCAUGAUGAUAAUGAUCUUCAGUGUCUCUUGGUCUGAUAGUUUUCAAAAUGGUUUAGAGAAUAAAUGCCUGUAUGGAAACUAGGUUUGGAUGCCUUCUUGGCGAUAACUGUUCACCGUGCCUUCCAGCAAGAUUCCCAAGUACUUUGCCUA